AACGAACGCUGGCGGCAUGCCUAACACAUGCAAGUCGAACGAGGCCUUCGGGUCUAGUGGCGCACGGGUGCGUAACGCGUGGGAACCUGCCCUUAGGUUCGGAAUAACUCCCCGAAAGGGGUGCUAAUACCGGAUAAUGUCUUCGGACCAAAGAUUUAUCGCCUUUGGAUGUGCCCGCGUUGGAUUAGCUAGUUGGUAGGGUAAAAGCCUACCAAGGCGACGAUCCAUAGCUGGCCUGAGAGGAUGAUCAGCCACACUGGGACUGAGACACGGCCCAGACUCCUACGGGAGGCAGCAGUGGGGAAUAGUGGACAAUGGGCGAAAGCCUGAUCCAGCAAUGCCGCGUGAGUGAUGAAGGCCUUAGGGUUGUAAAGCUCUUUUACCCGGGAUGAUAAUGACAGUACCGGGAGAAUAAGCUCCGGCUAACUCCGUG
rnacentral:rRNA from 1 species